CGUAGGGCGCAAGCGUUGUCCGGAAUUAUUGAGCGUAAAGAGCUCGUAGGCGGCUUGUCACGUCGGGUGUGAAAGACCGGGGCUUAACCCCGGUUCUGCAUUCGAUACGGGCUGGCUAGAGUGUGGUAGGGGAGAUCGGAAUUCCUGGUGUAGCGGUGAAAUGCGCAGAUAUCAGGAGGAACACCGGUGGCGAAGGCGGAUCUCUGGGCCAUUACUGACGCUGAGGAGCGAAAGCGUGGGGAGCGAACAGGAUUAGAUACCCUGGUAGUCCACGCCGUAAACGGUGGGAACUAGGUGUUGGCGACAUUCCACGUCGUCGGUGCCGCAGCUAACGCAUUAAGUUCCCCGCCUGGGGAGUACGGCCGCAAGGCUA
rnacentral:rRNA from 1 species